rnacentral:sRNA from 1 species
UGAUACAUUCACGAUUGAGGAUUGGGA